CAAUAAGCGGAGGAAAAGAAACCAACAGGGAUUGCCUCAGUAACGGCGAGUGAAGCGGCAAAAGCUCAAAUUUGAAACCCUCGGGAUUGUAAUUUGAAGAUUUGGCAUUGGAGAAAGCUAACCCAAGUUGCUUGGAAUAGUACGUCAUAGAGGGUGACAACCCCGUCUGGCUAACCGUUCUCCAUGUAUUGCCUUAUCAAAGAGUCGAGUUGUUUGGGAAUGCAGCUCAAAGUGGGUGGUAAACUCCAUCUAAAGCUAAAUACUGGUGAGAGACCGAUAGCGAACAAGUACUGUGAAGGAAAGGUGAAAAGAACUUUGAAAAGAGAGUGAAAUAGUAUGUGAAAUUGUUGAUAGGGAAGGAAAUGAGUGGAGAGUGGCCGAGGUUUCAGCCGCCCCUCGUGGGCGGUGUACUGCCGACGCCGAGUCAUCGAUAGCGAGACGAGGGUUACAAAUGGGAGCGCCUUUCGGGCGUUCUCCCCUAACCCU
rnacentral:rRNA from 1 species